rnacentral:rRNA from 1 species
CCUACGGGUGGCAGCAGUGAGGAAUAUUGGUCAAUGGGAGGAAUCCUGAACCAGCCAUGCCGCGUGCAGGACGACGGCUCUACGAGUUGUAAACUGCUUUUGUACCGGGGUAAAAUGCCUUACGUGUAGGGUUUUGAAAGUACGGUACGAAUAAGGAUCGGCUAACUCCGUGCCAGCAGCCGCGGUAAUACGGAGGAUCCGAGCGUUAUCCGGAUUCAUUGGGUUUAAAGGGUGCGUAGGCUUUUUUAUAAGUUAGCGGUGAAAUACCGAUGCUCAACAUCGGGGCUGCCGCUCAUACUGUAGGACUAGAGAUCGGAUGCAGCAGGCGGAAUGUGUCUUGUAGCGGUGAAAUGCUUCGAUAUUACACAGAACCCCGAUUGCGCAGGCAGCUUGCUAGGCCGGAUCUGACACUGAUGCACGAAAGCGUGGGGAUCGAACAGGAUUAGAUACCCGUGUAGUC